rnacentral:misc_RNA from 1 species
GAUGAAGAACGUAGCGAAAUGCGAUAAGUAAUGUGAAUUGCAGAAUUCAGUGAAUCAUCGAAUCUUUGAACGCACAUUGCGCCCCUUGGUAUUCCGAGGGGCAUGCCUGUUCGAGCGUCAUUAUAACCCCUCAAGCUCAGCUUGGUGUUGGGGCCUGCUGCACUGGCAGCCCUUAAAAUCAGUGGCGGCGCCAUCUGGCUCUAAGCGUAGAAAUUCUUCUCGCUAUGGAGUCCUGGUGGAUGCUUGCCAUCAACCCCCAAUUUUUCUAUGGUUGACCUCGGAUCAGGUAGGGAUACCCGCUGAACUUAAGCAUAUCAAUAAGCGGAGGA